GAAUUACUCUUGGAGUAGCAAUUGCUGGAUGUGCCUCUUUUGUUGAGGUGAUUGGAUCUUUUGGCAAAAACCAGUGACUGCAAAGGAUGAGAGAAACGAUCAGAAAAACUGAAAAGCUGUAGGAGACCAAACACUAGUGUCUCCCCUGCUUCAGGGGACACCCACUGUCAGAGUGAACGACAAAGACGCGCGUGGAUGAUUUGAAGAUAUUAGCCUAACAAGAUGGAAGCAGGUUUAAAAUUUUACAUAAGAAGUUACCUUUUUCAGAUACAGUUAAGCUAAUGAUCUCGAGAGGAUAUCGUCCUGGAUAAGGGUGGAGCCUACGCCCAAAAACAAGAUUACCUGAAAGAGAAAAGAAAGGGGGAAAACACACAGAGAUACAGUCGGGGAGGCCACAUGAAGAUGGAGGCAGAGACAGGAGUGAUGAGCCUGCAAGCCAAGGAAUGCCAAGGGCUGCCAGCAGCCAUGAGAAGCUGAGAGACACAGAGAACGAGUCCUCUGCCAGAGCCUCCAGAAGGAACUAACCCUGUCAAU
rnacentral:lncRNA from 10 species